rnacentral:rRNA from 1 species
GACGUAGGAGGCGAGCGUUGUCCGGAUUCAUUGGGCGUAAAGGGCUCGUAGGCGGUUUGUUGCGUCGGCUGUGAAAUCCCGAGGCUCAACCUCGGGUCUGCAGUCGAUACGAGCAAACUAGAGUGUUGCAGGGGAGACUGGAAUUCCUGGUGUAGCGGUGAAAUGCGCAGAUAUCAGGAGGAACACCGGUGGCGAAGGCGGGUCUCUGGGCAACAACUGACGCUGAGGAGCGAAAGCGUGGGGAGCGAACAGG